GAUUGACCUCAAAUCAGGUAGGACUACCCGCUGAACUUAA
rnacentral:rRNA from 1 species